AACGAACGCUGGCGGCAUGCCUAACACAUGCAAGUCGAACGAGACCUUCGGGUCUAGUGGCGCACGGGUGCGUAACGCGUGGGAACCUGCCUUUAGGUUCGGAAUAACUCAGAGAAAUUUGAGCUAAUACCGGAUGAUGUCUUCGGACCAAAGAUUUAUCGCCUUUAGAUGGGCCCGCGUUGGAUUAGCUAGUUGGUGGGGUAAAGGCCUACCAAGGCGACGAUCCAUAGCUGGUCUGAGAGGAUGAUCAGCCACACUGGGACUGAGACACGGCCCAGACUCCUACGGGAGGCAGCAGUGGGGAAUAUUGGACAAUGGGCGAAAGUCUGAUCCAGCAAUGCCGCGUGAGUGAUGAAGGCCUUAGGGUUGUAAAGCUCUUUUACCCGAGAUGAUAAUGACAGUAUCGGGAGAAUAAGCUCCGGCUAACUCCGUG
rnacentral:rRNA from 1 species